rnacentral:lncRNA from 1 species
GGCUGUCUGCAUAUCCCGAAGUGUGACCUUCCAGGCCCACAGGGUGGCUGGCGCUGCGCUUCUUCGUGGCCCGCGACAGUGCGGCCACCUUCAUCGGCCAGUGGCGCACUGAUCUGGGCGAGCCCGAAAUGCUCCGCGAGCUGGCGAGGGAGACACUGGGCCUCUGCACCCGGUCAGCUCCCCAAGAUAAAGGCCUCGGAGGGGAAGUUCCGCGUGGGAGACUCCGGCCUGUUGAUCUCUGUGAGGGUGCCCGGGAGCCGCCUGACGGCGCGCCUGGGUGUGGCGACCCGCUGGAGCGCUACCUGGACAGUCAGGACCCGCGCCGCCGCUCCUCCACCACCCACCGCCCGCCCCCGUCGAGGGUCCGCACCCUGUCCCCGCAGAGGGUGUCGCCCACCCCUAGCCCCUGCCCUGGUAGCCUGGUCCCCGCGAGAGAGCGCCGGCGCUCCGGACCCUAGGUGACCCCUAUUCGCUUACAAAGCAUAAAGCAGGGGCCGAGGCUCCCAGGCCCUGGGAUCAGCUGCCCGCCGCAUCCCCGCUCCUACUCUGAGGACAGUGACUCCUCAGCUUUCUCAGCCCAGAGCCGCCCCCUUGGUGCCCGCAGCGAGGAUGAGGCACUAGGCCGGGAGGAAGAGACCCAGACGGGGGCUGACCACCACCACCUGGCCUCUCCGAGACGGCCCCCUGCCCCGCGCAGCCAGUCCCGGGACGGGCUGGAUCCGAGUCGGCCCCGGGGAGCUCCAGGAGAGAGGGGAGCCCAGCUGCGGCCCUCAGCCCUGCCCGGUGGGCGCAGGAGCAGACUGGGCUCAAGGAUGGAGAUGGGCAGCACUCGUGGGAGCCACAGGGCAGGGGCAGCGGGGCUCGGGCAGGAGCACCCCUGGGCUCUCCAUGCCCACCGCCCUGAAGCACCCUGGCUUUCCCAGUCCAACCCCAGUUUAGAGUUUAGCACCACACGCGCCAGCGUCUUCCGCACACACCAGAGCAGCUGCUCUGACGCCUGGACAAGGAGUUUCUGGCCAAUGCCGGGACCCAUAAGGCUGUUGCUGGCGGGACCCCCACUGGACCAGCCCCUAACCGGGCUCCAGCCCCAGACCCUCUAGCUCCUGACUCGGCCUACAGAUCCUCCAGUUCCUCCUUUUCAUCCCUUAUUCUCUUAUGUGGCAAACGUGGCCAACCUGGGGACUCUGGCCUUAAGACCAACGGGCUGCCCGGCCCGCUGUCAAGCCCUUCCCAGCUCCUCCUCCGAUGAAGGAAAGCCCUGCCCUGGCAUGGGAGGGGCUACUAGAUGCACCUGGGAGCCCCCUGACUGGUCCAGAACACUGGAGGACCUGAGCACUGGGUAGGAUGGACACACAGCCAGACUGCAAACCCUCAGGCAUCCCCAUGCUUAGGGUCUCCCCCCGGUUCCUCCAGACACACAGAGUUGGAGGGUGCGGGGGGAAGGGGAAGGGAGCUUGCAUGCCUCCAGCCAGGUUCCUGG